UACAGAGGGGGCAAGCGUUGUUCGGAAUUACUGGGCGUAAAGGGCGCGUAGGCGGCCUGCUAAGUCAGACGUGAAAUCCCCAGGCUCAACUUGGGAACUGCGUCUGAUACUGGAUGGCUUGAAUUCGGGAGAGGGAUGCAGAAUUCCAGGUGUAGCGGUGAAAUGCGUAGAUAUCUGGAGGAAUACCGGUGGCGAAGGCGGCAUCCUGGACCGGCAUUGACGCUGAGGAGCGAAAGCUAGGGGAGCAAACGGG
rnacentral:rRNA from 1 species